UUAUCUCGUAUGCACUCUGUAGGGCAGCUCUUAUUAAACCAGCGCUGCGCUGUGUGAGAAAUCAAAGCGCAGGCGUCGAGUCGGGAGGGAGCCUAUCUUGCGCAGGCUGGAUACUGUACGUGGCCAUUGAUGCUGCUGGAUAGAUGUAGCCCCGAUGUAAAUAAGAAUGGCGAGGGCAGCGGGUCUGACACGCCGAGUUAUCGCUGCUUGACAUCGGAACGUCACACCAUCGGGAUUUUAUUUAAGAAGAAAGAAAGAAAAACGCGGGGUCCGGUUUUUUCAUCUGAAUUUGUCUUGAUGGUUUUCAUUUGACACAAAGCAGACGGGCGGCGUCUUCUAAUAAACACGGGAAAAACGGGUCAUUAUGACCUUAGUAUCCUCCAGUAAAAGAAAACCAUCAGAUUGUUUUUACGCGGCAGCAUUCUGCUUGCAUUUUUUUUGCUUUGGAUUUCGUGUGCCGUGUCCGGAGAGGGGGAUCAUCAGUUCAGCGUUGAGCUGGAUGCAAAAGCCACGCUGCGGAGUUCCGGACAAAUUCAGAAGCGCUUCAAGGUCACGGAGGCGGAGAUGCGCUCUGACGGGACAGAAGUGGCAGCGAACACACAUAACCUACACAUGAUAGAUGGCUGAGGCAUGUUGUCAUAGGGAGGUUAGGAUUCAGAUCUGCUAGUGUUAAUUGCCUCACCUCUUCCCUGUCUCUCAUCUCCUCCUCUUUCUUCCUUCUGUAUCUGUAGCCAAGCUGUUUACCUCCAAGUUUUUAUUAGCAGCGAGCCACAGACCAAAUUCUAGUUAAUUGAAACGAUAUUUUAUUGCAUACCAUCACUAUAAGAACACUGGAAAGGGCAUGUCGUAUUGUGUUGGUAUGUAUGCCAGUGAGUCCAAACCACAACUAAACCCAUAAAGAAACAGACAUGCAGUUGACAGGCGACACAAGAAAGGACAAAUGAAAACACACAACUAUUUAUACUAGGACCACACUGAGGGGUUAACAUGGUAAAACUAAUAGCACUACAUGAGUUACAACAGACUAUCAAAAUACAACAGGAAGUUACUCAAGAAACAGCAACAAGUACGUAAUACGCUUAAGCUCGACACAGAAGGACACAAAGGACAGAAAGAGAGAUUUUAGAAAAUAAACCAUAAGCAGAAUACUAAUGGGAACAAACAGGAAUUGAAACAAAGCAUUAGGCCACAAGAUACUAAGGAAUGUAAAAAUCAAACAAAUAAACUAAGAAUAAAAUAGAACAUCAAAUAAUGAACAAGAAUUAAAAGUCCCCCCCCCCCCCCCAAAAGGAGUCUGGCAACAAGACCCUCCACAAUGGCAGGGCAAGCUUUACAGUAGUUAUCUGUUUUUUACUGUAACAGGCGACAGUGAGGUUGUUUUCCUUUCUGUAUGGUAGGAGAACGAGUGCAGGUGUAGCAGAUUUCAAACGGUUGACUGCGUUGUGACGACAGACACAGACUGGCUGGAAACUGGAUUUAUUUCUAAAAGACAAAGUGCAGCAGCAAAAUCAGUGUCACACAGCAACAGCAGGUCUCUCCUCAUCCCAGUGUGGAGUCCAUGGAGCUCUGGCUCACAAUAUAUAAAAGAAAAUACAAUCUAUCAAAACAAUGGUGUGGUUUCCCUCAACAGCCACUUUAAAAUCAAAUGUUAUAGUGGGGUAAAACAGAGAGAAAUAUGAAGCAAGGUUUAGUCAAAAAUAAGCCACUAAUAAUAACUUGUAAUAUUUAAAUCCCCACUAAGAUGGAUCAAUUACACAAUACAUAUUCAAACAACUGUAACUUUUCCCAACAUGGCUGAAAAUAUUAUUCAGUGUGCAGCCUCAGAUCAUGAACUCAUACACAUAAACCAAAACCUAUACAUAUACACAUACCUAAAAGACAAAGUGCAGCAGCAAAGUCAGUGUCACACAGCAACAGCAGGCCUCUGCUCAUCCCUGUUUAGCACAAGUAAGGAACACAUAAACGGAUGGUGUAACAGAUAAAAGGCAGUUCCAAUUACUAUUUUCCUCGUUCAAAGUAAUCAAAAACACUUUGGGGGCCUUUAGCCAUAAGAACUAAUACUUAGUGAAGAAAAAUACACCAAAUUUAAACGUGUAAUUUAAUACAGGGAGAGGAGCUACAGAGAGUGUGCCUCACCAGUGUGGAGUCCAUGCAGCUCUGGCUGGGAACCCACACACAUGCAGCAUGUUUACAAGUGGCGUCACACUGAUUAAUGCCCCACUUCAACAGUGACAUGUGGAACCUUAGUUUUACAAAAAUUAAAUUUACACAAUAAAAAAAA